rnacentral:rRNA from 1 species
UACGGAGGGUGCAAACGUUGCUCGGAAUCAUUGGGCGUAAAGCGCACGUAGGCGGCCUGAUAAGUCGGGUGUGAAAGCCCUGGGCUCAACCCAGGAAGUGCACUCGAAACUGUCAGGCUUGAAUAUGGAAGAGGGUCGCGGAAUUCCCGGUGUAGAGGUGAAAUUCGUAGAUAUCGGGAGGAACACCCGUGGCGAAGGCGGCUCUCUGGGACGGUACUGACGCUGAGACGCGAAAGCGUGGGGAGCGAACAGG